UGAUGAUGAAGAGGGUAACUCUUUAACAUUGAUUUGAACCUAUCCCAAGCUUGAUACAAGUUUUCACCACUCUUUUAUCUAAAACAUAAAAUAUCACUGCUCAACUU